CAGUAGCCGCGGUAAUACGAAGGGGGCUAGCGUUGCUCGGAAUUACUGGGCGUAAAGGGCGCGUAGGCGGACAGUUUAGUCGGGGGUGAAAGCCCGGGGCUCAACCUCGGAAUUGCCUUCGAUACUGGCUGCCUUGAGUGUGAGAGAGGUGUGUGGAACUCCGAGUGUAGAGGUGAAAUUCGUAGAUAUUCGGAAGAACACCAGUGGCGAAGGCGACACACUGGCUCACUACUGACGCUGAGGCGCGAAAGCGUGGGGAGCAAACAGGAUUAGAUACCCCUGUAGUCCCUGUCUCUUAUAC
rnacentral:rRNA from 1 species